GUGGUACCGUCUCAGGCUAUCCAACAAACACCUUCAACAUCAGCCCCAGCACCAAAGACUGCUUGACCUCUGUGGUUCUUUAAAUGAGAAGGUUCCUGUGUUUGAACACUUGGUCCCCAGUUGGCACUGUUGUUAUGGAAACUUUAGAAGGCAGAGUCUUGUUUGAGGGAAUUGAUAACUGAGAGCAGGCUUUGAAGGUUCUCUCUCUCUCUCUCUCUCCCCCCCCCCCAGUUGUGUGUGAAUGAAAUGUGAUCAAUCUGCUUCCUGGCAGUUUUACCUCGAGCUCCUGUUGUCACACCAUUCCCCACCAUGAUGGCUCCAUCCCUCCGGAACUGUAAGGCUAACACAGGCUCUCUUCCAGCAUUUACAGAUGCUUUCUGAGUGGCCAGCUUGGGUGCUGAAGGACGUCACAAGCUUCAUCCUUCAUUCUCGAAGGGACUCUGGAGGAUUCUCAGGAGCACAUUUGCUGCAAGAAGGCAGAAGCCAUGGUAAGGCGAGCCACUGCCUAAGGACACACAGAUGGUGUUCAGCUGAGCCAGGAUUCUCUGGCAUGACACAGCCUGCGUACGAACCCACUCCGCUGUGCUUCUGUGAGGCGAGAGCCCUAUUGCACAGUGUGUUGGUCAGCCCUACCUGCAGUUAGUCCUCCAGACCAAGGGAACUGAGGGAAAUCUACAACCAAUGGGAACUGGCUAAGUUAGGGACCAAUACAUUCCCACAUCCCCAACCCCAAGCCCAUCCCUGUUAAUAAAUAAAGAGGUCCAGUGGCGCACUGC